AGGACAAUCAGGGAAAGAAGUAACUGUGUCCUAAAAUAUCAGUAGUGCACAACAGCACAAGGUCUUUGAAUUCCAACUGUUGAACAUCAUGUUAUGAGAACAUCUCCACAUGCCCAGUGAAGAUCUUUGUCCAGGUCUGCCUGCUGCUCACCAGGAUAACAGAGCAGUGUGGUGGUCAAGAGGAAUCUUCUCUUGUUUGGAGUUUUCCACUCUUAGGUAUUUGCAGAGCUUUGAACCACAAAGUGCUGUGGGUUAUUGAUGGAUUGCUGAUGUGUGUGGCUACAGGAUGCCCCGGGGUCUGUAUCCUCCUGGUGCCCACUGCAGCUCCUCUACCCACCUCAAGCACUCUCAGGUUGCUGUCCAGCUGUGCACUUAAAUCUGGUUUUAUCACACUUUCUGAGCUCAUCACAUUUAAUUCUGCCCCUACAAUGCUGGAUUAACUUUAAGGGUCGCUGAAGUCAGAAGUCACUCACCCUUGCCCUACUAAUGGAUUCCCAGAGCCCCGCACGGCCGAGCAGCACCGGGUACAGUAACCCAAAUUCAUCAUCGGGCUGAGGGGAAGGCAGAGGGGGUCUUUGGGUUCGCUCUGGGGACAUUUGCAGAGAUGACAGCACCAGGAGGUGUUGUUUUCCUCCUCCUGGGCAAUGCAGCCGGCCCAGCACUGCCCUGAGAGCUGCGAGGGAGCACAGCUGGGCCUGCCUGGGAGGAGCCAUGGCUGACUCCUGACGCUCAUGGACCUGGGCAAAUGCUCAGCUCUCUCCACCCAGAAAUCACACCCUGCUGCCCCACUCGCUCCUGCCACAACUCCCUCCCCUGGUAUUUUGUGGGCCCCAUCUCUGAUAUUUGAAGCAGUCCCAGAAGACUGAAAAAGCCCAUUUUUUUUUUUUUAUUCUAGGGAUGACUUCUUUGUUGUUACCUAGCAUCAAGAAAGCAGGACAGGGCAUAAAUGAAACUCUUCAUCUAAACAACAUUCAUCCCCAGGUUUUUAUCUCAAUCUGUUUUUAUUCUCUGACGAGCAAAGGUCAGAGAGGUUGGUGUUAGAUACUACCAAAAUAAGAUAAUUCACUGCCUUGAAAAAAAUCAUCCUGCAAACAAGCAAAUAAAGGGGAAAUCAUAUUCUAUUAAAAGAAACCC
rnacentral:lncRNA from 1 species